rnacentral:misc_RNA from 1 species
UGGAUUCUGGGAGUAUGUUGGCUCAUGCAAGUCAGCUCUCCUUAAAUGUAUUAGCAGGAUCAUCGUCGAAUCAUCUUUGAUAUGAUAAUUAUCUAUAUCAUUUACGAUACGAUGAAAAGAUCAGGCUUAUAACUGUCUUCGGACACAACAGUAUUUCACCAUUUGACCUCAAAUCAGGUAGGACUACCCGCUGAACUUAA